ACGAAGGGGGCGAGCGUUGUUCGGAUUUACUGGGCGUAAAGGGCGCGCAGGCGGCUCAUUUUGUCAGGCGUGAAAUCUCCGGGCUUAACCCGGAAAUUGCCGUUGAUACUAUCUGUCUUGAAUAUCGUGGAGGUAAGCGGAAUAUGUCAUGUAGCGGUGAAAUGCUUAGAUAUGACAUAGAACACCCAUUGCGAAGGCAGCUUACUACACGAUCAUUGACGCUGAGGCACGAAAGCGUGGGGAGCAAACAGGA
rnacentral:rRNA from 1 species